AUAAAUUUCAGGCUGCUCUGGAGGCACCAAGGGUUCUGAACUUAAAAAGCAGUGAACAUUUCUCUGGACCAUAUGGGGAGGAUGUUGUCUUCAUUGCCAAUGAUUGGCACACUGCUCUUCUUCCAUGCUACCUAAAAACAAAGUACAAAUCAAGGGUACUCUAUAAAAAUGCCAAGGUUGCUUUUUGCAUUCAUAACAUAGCUUAACAGGGACCG